rnacentral:rRNA from 1 species
GUUGUAUAGUCAAGUAAUUAAGUGCAUGUGGUGGAUGCCUUGGCAGUCAGAGGCGAUGAAAGACGUGAUAGCCUGCGAAAAGCUUCGGGGAGGCGGCAAAUAUCCUGUGAUCCGGAGAUGUCUGAAUGGGGAAACCCACUUACCAUAAGGUAGGUAUUGCAUGAUGAAUACAUAGUCAUGCAAGGCGAACGAGGGGAAGUGAAACAUCUCAGUACCCUCAGGAAAAGAAAUCAAUUGAGAUUCCCUCAGUAGCGGCGAGCGAACGGGGAUCAGCCCAUUAAGUUAUGUGUGUUUUAGCGGAAUGCUCUGGGAAGUGCAACCGUAGAGGGUGAUAGUCCCGUACACGAAAGGGCACACAUAAUGAUGACGAGUAGGGCGAGGCACGUGAAACCUUGUCUGAAUAUGGGGGGACCAUCCUCCAAGGCUAAAUACUCCUGACUGACCGAUAGUGAACCAGUACCGUGAGGGAAAGGCGAAAAGAACCCCUGUGAGGGGAGUGAAAUAGAUCCUGAAACCGCAUGCAUACAAGCAGUGGGAGCACCUUCGUGGUGUGACUGCGUACCUUUUGUAUAAUGGGUCAGCGACUUAUAUUCAGUGGCGAGGUUAACCGAAUAGGGGAGCCGUAGAGAAAUCGAGUCUUAAUAGGGCGUCUAGUCGCUGGGUAUAGACCCGAAACCGGGUGAUCUAUCCAUGAGCAGGUUGAAGGUUGGGUAACACUAACUGGAGGACCGAACCCACCGUCGUUGAAAAGCCGGGGGAUGACUUGUGGAUAGGGGUGAAAGGCUAAUCAAACUCGGUGAUAGCUGGUUCUCCC